UACGUGCGGGGCGAACGUUGUUCGGUGUCACUGGGCUUAAAGGGUGCGUAGGUGGUUGCGUAAGUAACGUGUGAAAUCCCUCGGCUUACCCGGGGAAUUGCGCGUUAUACUGCGUGACUUGGGGAUUUCAGGGGAAUGGGGAACUCCAGGUGUAGCGGUGAAAUGCGCAGAUAUCUGGGGGAAGGCCGGCGGCGAAGGCGCCAUUCUGGGAAAUUCCUGACACUGAGGCGCGAAAGCGUGGGGAGCGAACAGG
rnacentral:rRNA from 1 species